CGAAAAAAGUGACGCGUAAUUGCAUGCCAUUUUAAACGAUUGGAAAAAGCGUGUGAAAAACUUAAAUAAUGGUCGAUGCUGAUAAUUUAGACAACUUGUCGAAUGCCGAACUGCGUGCUCAAAUGUUGGCACAGGGAUUACCGAAUAUACCCAUCACAGGCAGCGGUCGCACAUAAUGGAAAAUGGAGGCAUUAUGCGCAAUGGAGCUGUCGAAGGCACCAAAUUCGUGCAAGCUGCAGCCCUGUCGCAUUUGAUUUAUGGCUGGUGUAGCCUUUCUGCAUUUUGCUUGGCCCAUAAAUCAGUAUGCAUACAUAUAUUAUAAUAAUGUAACCUUGCGCAUACUACCGGAGUAGUACCCAGAGACAAAUGCUGCGCACACAUUGGAUUUCAACUCAUCUCUGUUCUCAGCCAGUCGUUCUUCACAUAGUGGCCCUGCUCACUGUCGCAUGCUGUGGUGCUCAUUUUGAUAGUCCCGGCCGUAAUGCAUUUUGCACCUACUGCAGCCGCUUAGCUACUCCCACCGCUUCUCACUUGCAUAGGGCGCUCCGUACAUGGAUUACCCCGAAGUCGAGCGUAUGAUAGUAUGUGUCGAUAUGUCGCUGCGGACUACAUGGAUCGGCGGACCCAGCACCAUCAUUGGCGACAUUGCCGGCACCGCCGGUCACGUCCACAGCCUUGGGCGUACAUGGAACAUUGGAACAAAGACGUAAAUCAGCUUGGCAACAAUUUGCAGGCCAAUUAAAGCACUGAAGCAAUAUGCAGCAUCAAAUCGUUGCAUACUUUUGUGGUGUUCGGAAAAGUCUAGCCUUAUAUUUUCGUUGCAUACUUUAGGGCAUACCUAUUAAUUGUCAAAUUCAAAAUCAUUUCAUUAUUCGCAAGCAGGAUCUAUGUCAACUUCCAAACAAGUGUAUAUUAUGUAUAAUACUGUUCUUUGUAAUGAGAAACCAAUAAUAAAUAAAAACUGAACGGCUUUUG